GUUAAAUGAACAAUUAAGGUGUC
rnacentral:piRNA from 1 species